rfam:Macrophomina phaseolina MS6 contig00172, whole genome shotgun sequence.
ACGUACGACCAUAGGUCGCAGAAAGCAACGGAUCCCGUCCGCUCUCCGAUAUUUAACCUGCGAACCGGCUGACUAGUACCCAAGUGGGUGACCAUUGGGGAAUCCCAGCUGUUGUACGGU